rnacentral:lncRNA from 1 species
UUCGCACUUCAUCGGAUCCAUUUAAAUAUAAUUGUUCAAAUACAUAUACCAAAAGCAUAAUUUUUAUACUUAUCCACUAUAAGUGCCGAAUGCACAUUUACACCUAUACCCACCUAUGCCGAAUGCAUACAUAUAUACACACAUAUAUAUAUAUCCAACAAUUUCAUGACAACCGAUAUAUAUAUAUACAUACUUACUAUUCACAAAGAUUCGAACGAUUAUAUAAUCAUCAACCACCUUGAUACAAUGUUCAUAAACUUAUCCAUUUCAUAUAAACAAAAUCAUAUAUAUUUAUACUCAAUACAUAGAAUCACUUAAUUUAAACAGAUUCAACGGCACUUAGCCUGCUAGGCUUAUAGCCUGAUUCAGAUCAC